rnacentral:misc_RNA from 1 species
UCCGGCUUAUCACCGGCAGUUUCCUUAUAGUUCCCGGCAUUACCCGCUGGCAAAUAAGAAUGAGGGUUGCGCUCGUUGCGGGACUUAACCCAACAUCUCACGACACGAGCUGACGACAGCCAUGCAACACCUGUGUGUGGUCCGGCCGAACCGAAGGGAAUCAUCUCUGUUUCCCGCGACCACCAUGUCAAGGGUUGGUAAGGUUUUUCGCGUAGCAUCGAAUUAAACCGCAUGCUCCACCGCUUGUGCGAGCCCCCGUCAAUUCCUUUGAGUUUUAACCUUGCGGCCGUACUCCCCAGGCGGAGUGCUUAAUGCGUUAGCUGCGAAACCGAAAGAUAAAUCUCCCGACAUCUAGCACUCAUCGUUUACAGCGUGGACUAC